AAACAGAGUAAUCGUUGAUCGUGAUGAAAUCCGUAAUUUCAAGUCCGUUUCACGCUUGUUCUUGGCAAGAGGUUAGCCUGGUCGACAUAAAAGCGAUCAGACAGCGACGGCGACGACUGCGCCAAUUUUCAAAGGGACGGAGACGAGGUGAAUCAAAACAAAAGGCUCUACCGUCCACCUAGGUUUAUACGCAGGUGGAGACAUCUGAAAUUAAAGUUACUGAAAAGCAUAUUCAAAUACUGUAAUACCGCCAGGAGAGAAGUCAAUUGCUACAUAGAAUCAAAAUGAAGAUUCAGCAAAAAUCUUUGUAAACACGAACCGUCCAGAUGCGGUCUGUUGUUUUAAAUAUAGUUCGUAGUUAGUGCGCGAUUGAAACAAAUGAAAUUUACAAGCGGACUGUAAUUCCAUAGGAAUAUUCACACACAGAAUGAUAUGCAUUGCUGCGCGUAAAUGUAGAAGGAAAGCAGAGAGAAUCGGAUGAGAAAUAUUUUCUGAAAUUUUACAAAUUCCACAGUGACGUAUGCGUAAUAUGCAAAUGGCGGUUAGGGGGAUCUCCCCGACUAGAUAUAGAGUAUGGAGCGCCGUUUCUUUCAUUGAUUUCGAAACGGUCCGACGAAUUUGAGGAUAAAAAUGAAACCCAGGUUGGUAGGCGGUUCGGUACAUCAGGCUAUAGAAGUGACGGCCAAGGAUUUUCCCGUGCGUGAAUUAAAUAUGACGGUUCGACGAGGAUAAACAAGCACGUUGGAUGCGUUAUGCGAACUACUGAGUCGGACUUGAAAAAGCAAAUUUCGAUGGAGAACGAAUGGACGAGACACGUACGUCGAAAGGGAACGAAAACUUGUCGAAAAUAUUCAUCGAGCGACAAUGGACACUAAAUGCUAACUAGCUGCCAAGUCAAACAUAAGGUACCUUCGGCGUAACACUCGUAAAAUUUUUCGUUUGAUCAGCCAACGUCCGAACAGCUGACUCCUUCGGCUAGCAUUACGACCUAAUUACACCUAGUAACGACCUCGAUGAUGAAUCCACAGCAUCCACUGGAAAUGAGAUAUGGCUUAUUUUCAAGAUCUCGCUGCUUAUUUUACAUGUUCGUCAUAUCAAUUACUACGAGGAUUCCGUCUGACCCUGUUUUAUCGACUGUAUCGACCAUCAUUAUACCGACUGGGAUUUGUCCAAUUAUACAAAGUGAAGAGUCAACAGGGAUGAACGUUCGGUGGUCCCUUGGCGAUUUAAUUCCCGCACGUUACAGAUUUAUCAUGACGAACUGAGAAAGUAAGACGGCAGUGUGCCGAGUGGAGUGGCUGCUGCGACGGAUUUCAGUUAACCUAUAAACGCUUGUGGCUGGAGAUUAAUGAAUGCUCGGAAGAUCACAGGUGUUGGGUAUUGCAUAAAAUCUGAGGAGUGAAAAUGUCUGAGAAAAAUAUUAUAUAUCGUUUUCAAUGAAUUCACUGGGAAAAG